rnacentral:rRNA from 1 species
UACAGAGGUGGCAAGCGUUGUUCGGAAUUACUGGGCGUAAAGGGCGCGUAGGCGGCUUGGUCAGUCCCGUGUGAAAUCCCUCGGCUCAACUGAGGAACUGCACGGGAAACUGCCUGGCUUGAGUUCGGGAGAGGGAAGCGGAAUUCCGGGUGUAGCGGUGAAAUGCGUAGAUAUCCGGAGGAACACCAGCGGCGAAGGCGGCGUCCUGGACUGGUACUGACGCUCAGGAGCGAAAGCGUGGGGAGCGAUCCGG